rnacentral:pre_miRNA from 1 species
ACUUCUUUUCAUCAUAAAAAAAUUAACUUCUUCCAUGCAUUAAAUUUUACUUGCUUAUAGAAAAAAAAAGGAAAAUAAUAUUAAUAAUCAUUAAUGAUACAUUAAUAAUAUUAAUAAUCAUUAAUGAUACAUUAAUAAUUAUUAAUAUUAUUUUUCUUUUCUCUUUUUUUUUCUAUAAGCAAGUAGAAUUUAAUGCAUGGAAGAAGUUAAUUUUUUUAUGACGGAAGAAGU